UUGACCUCAAAUCGGGUGAGACUACCCGCUGAACUUAAGCAUAUCAAUAAGCGGAGGAAAAGAAACUAACAAGGAUUCCCCUAGUAACUGCGAGUGAAGCGGGAAAAGCUCAAAUUUAAAAUCUGGCGGUCUUUGGCCGUCCGAGUUGUAAUUUAGAGAAGCGUCUUCCGCGCCGGACCGUGCACAAGUCUCCUGGAAUGGAGCGUCAUAGAGGGUGAGAAUCCCGUCUUUGGCACGGAUGCCCGGUGCUUCUGUGAUGCGCUCUCGAAGAGUCGAGUUGUUUGGGAAUGCAGCUCAAAAUGGGUGGUGAACUCCAUCUAAAGCUAAAUAUUGGCGAGAGACCGAUAGCGAACAAGUACCGUGAGGGAAAGAUGAAAAGCACUUUGGAAAGAGAGUGAAACAGUACGUGAAAUUGUUGAAAGGGAAACGCUUGAAGUCAGUCGCGUCGACCGAGACUCAGCCUUGCCUCGGCUUGGUGUACUUCUCGGCCCGACGGGUCAGCGUCAAUUUUGCCCCUCGGAUAAUGGCAAGGGAAAGGUGGCACCUUUACGGGUGUGUUAUAGUCUCCUGUCGCAUGCGAGGGGUGGGAUUGAGGAACUCAGCGCGCACCUUGGUGUCGGGGCUUCUGCCCACGUCACGCGCUUAGGAUGCUGGCGUA
rnacentral:rRNA from 1 species